rnacentral:sRNA from 1 species
AGAGGUGAGGGAUAUUUGGCUGAGGCAUCUGGCACCCCAGUGAUCGCCAGGGUUGAUUCAGCUGAUCUGCUGGAUAGGUGGGUGUCCAUUCUUCCCUCACCACUCCAUGUGUGUCUUUCUCCCAGAGCUGUGUGCUGGAUGGAAGAGGACGGCCUUCUCCUUUUGGGGUGUCUCCCUCCUUCUCCGUCAGGGUAUCCUCCAGGGGAAAGGUAACGGGCUGGUUCUUUCUCGCUCACGACAGGGGUGACACGAAGUAAAAGACACCAGGGGACUCUUAGCGUGAAUCUAGAAUCUGAGUCCUU